CGAAGCACAUCAACCAUCCACAUUGCAACUGCAUCCAGUCCCAGAUUCCUAGAGCAAGCUAAUGUGGCAUGAGAUAGUCAGCUGUGUCAGUAACUGAGUGGGAGAAAAUUGUCAGCUAGCCAACGAGAGGAGUUGUCUGGAUAUUUGCACGACUUGAGCAUCACGAAGACAUGAACCAGCAAUUAAUUUAUUAAAAUGCAGAACUGACUGAAUCUGACAAUUCUGUACAAAGGAGUUUUCAGCAGAGAUGCAAACAUAAGAAUAAAUAAUUGUACUACUGUCAGAACAUCGUUUCUACUGAGAAUUAUCUCUUUCUUUAUGAAAAAAAGAAGAA